rnacentral:rRNA from 1 species
UACGAAGGGGGCUAGCGUUGCUCGGAAUUACUGGGCGUAAAGCGCACGUAGGCGGACUCUUAAGUCGGGGGGUGAAAGCCCAGGGCUCAACCCUGGAACUGCCUUCGAUACUGGGAGUCUUGAGUGUGGAAGAGGUUGGUGGAACUGCGAGUGUAGAGGUGAAAAUUCGUAGAUAUUCGCAAGAACACCAGUGGCGAAGGCGGCCAUCUCGUGUCGUAACUGACGCUGAGAGCGAAA